UACGGAGGGUGCGAGCGUUGUCCGGAAUCAUUGGGCGUAAAGGGCGCGUAGGUGGCCCGGUCAGUCCGUGGUGAAAGCGCGGGGCUCAACCCCGCGUCGGCCAUGGAUACUGCUGGGCUGGAGCACUGUAGAGGCAGGCGGAAUUCCGGGUGUAGCGGUGGAAUGCGUAGAGAUCCGGAAGAACACCGGUGGCGAAGGCGGCCUGCUGGGCAGUGUAGCUGACACUGAGGCGCGACAGCGUGGGGAGCAAACAGG
rnacentral:rRNA from 1 species